rnacentral:tRNA from 1 species
CAAAUUAUUUUUAAAAAUUAUUUUCAUUUACAUUGAAAUUAUAAAUUGUGAAAUCCAAUUUAAUUUGA